UGCAAGUCGAACGCCCCGCAAGGGGAGUGGCAGACGGGUGAGUAACGCGUGGGAACAUACCCUUUCCUGCGGAAUAGCUCCGGGAAACUGGAAUUAAUACCGCAUACGCCCUACGGG
rnacentral:rRNA from 1 species